rnacentral:rRNA from 1 species
AUUGAACGCUGGCGGCAGGCCUAACACAUGCAAGUCGAACGAGUGGCGGACAGGUGAGUAAUGUCUGGGAAACUGCCUGAUGGAGGGGGAUAACUACGGGAAACGGUAGCUAAUACCGCAUACCCUCGGAUGUGACCAGAUGGGAGUAGCUAGUAGGUGGGGUAAAGGCUCACCUAGGCGACGAACCCUAGCUGGUCUGAGAGGAGGACCAGCCACACGGGAACGGAGACACGUUCCAGACUCCUACGGGAGUCAGCAGUGGGGAAUAUUGCACAAUGGGCGCAAGCCUGAUGCAGCCAUGCCGCGUGUAUGAAGAAGGCCUUCGGGUUGUAAAGUACUUUCAGCGGGGAGGCGUUACCCGCAGAAGAAGCACCGGCUAACUCCGUGCCAGCAGCCGCGGUAAUUC